CCUACGGGAGGCAGCAGUAGGGAAUCUUCCACAAUGGGCGAAAGCCUGAUGGAGCAACGCCGCGUGGGUGAAGAAGGUCUUCGGAUCGUAAAACCCUGUCGUUAGAGAGGAAAGUGCGUGAGAGUAACUGUUCACGUUUCGACGGUAUCUGACCAGAAAGCAACGGCUAACUACGUGCCAGCAGCCGCGGUAAUACGUAGGGGGCAAGCGUUAUCCGGAUUUAUUGGGCGUAAAGGGAACGCAGGCGGUCUUUUAAGUCUGAUGUGAAAGCCUUGGGCUUAACCGGAGUAGUGCAUUGGAAACGGGGAGACUAGAGUCCAGAAGAGGGGAGUAGAACUCCAUGUGUAGCGGUGAAAUGCGUAGAUAUAUGGAAGAAUACCAGUGGCGAAAGCGGCUCUCUGGUCAGUAACUGACGCUGAGGUUCGAAAGCGUGGGUAGCAAACAGGAUUAGAUACCCUUGUAGUC
rnacentral:rRNA from 1 species